UUGUACGUAUUUAUCAAAAACUGAAAAAUUUACGGUUUUUGAGAAAAAUCGAAAUUUCGGUAUUUUACCAUUAACAUGUACUUUAUUAAAUCGAAAAUCUUGCAUAACUUUUUUGUUAUUAACGAUAGAGCCUUCAUUUAAAAAGUGUCAAGUGCUCCUUGUAAAGGGGCAUCUUGUACGUAUUUAUUAUAAACUGAAAAAUUUACGGUUUUUGAGAAAAAUCGAAAUUUCGGUAUUUUACCAUUAACAUGUACUUUAUUAAAUCGAAAAUCUUGCAUAACUUUUUUGUUAUUAAAGAUAGAGCCUUCAUUUAAAAGGUGUCAAGUGCUCCUUGUAAAGGGGCAUCUUGUACGUAUUUAUUAUAAACUGAAAAAUUUACAGUUUUUAAGAAAAAUCGAAAUUUCGGUAUUUUACCAUUAACAUGUACUUUAUUAAAUCGAAAAUCUUGCAUAACUUUUUUGUUAUUAAAGAUAGAGCCUUCAUUUAAAAGGUGUCAAGUGCUCCUUGUAAAGGGGCAUCUUGUACGUAUUUAUUAUAAACUGAAAAAUUUACAGUUUUUAAGAAAAAUCGAAAUUUCGGUAUUUUACCAUUAACAUGUACUUUAUUAAAUCGAAAAUCUUGCAUAACUUUUUUGUUAUUAAAGAUAGAGCCUUCAUUUAAAAGGUGUCAAGUGCUCCUUGUAAAGGGGCAUCUUGUACGUAUUUAUUAAAAACUGAAAAAUUUACAGUUUUUGAGAAAAAUCGAAAUUUCGGUAUUUUACCAUUAACAUGUACUUUAUUAAAUCGAAAAUCUUGCAUAACUUUUUUUGU
rnacentral:lncRNA from 1 species